rnacentral:tRNA from 1 species
GGUGGGUUGGCUCAGUGGGUAGAGCUAAGGGCUCGCGACUGGGAGGUGGGGGUUCAAAUCUCGCAAGAGGCG